UACAGAAGUCCCAAGCGUUGUUCGGAUUCAUUGGGCGUAAAGGGUGUGUAGGUGGCGCCGUAAGUCGGGUGUGAAAUCUCGGGGCUUAACUCCGAAACUGCAUUCGAUACUGCGGUGCUUGAGGACUGGAGAGGAGACUGGAAUUCAUGGUGUAGCAGUGAAAUGCGUAGAGAUCAUGAGGAAGACCAGUGGCGAAGGCGGGUCUCUGGACAGUUCCUGACACUGAGACACGAAGGCCAGGGGAGCAAACGGG
rnacentral:rRNA from 1 species